GGCUCCGGGGCGGAGAGGGAGAGCACACACAGAGGGAGAGGGGAGGAGACACAGGGGAAAAAACAGAAAUGUGAGACGAAGGAAAAAAAACAAAAGAACACAGGGCACUCACCUUCAGCCGGGCUUCCACUGCAACACCACGGCCAAAUAAGCGAGAUAGACAUGUACUGAGGUGCACUGCUGUACACAACCAUCAGGCCCCCAUUUCGCUGCCAAAACACCCCUGAGGCUUCGAGGGUUGGACUCCACUAGACCUCUGAAGAUCUGCUGUGGUAUCUGGCACCAAGACGUUAGCAGUAGAUCCUUUAAGUCCUGGCGCAUUAUCCUGCUGAAAGAGACCACUGCCACCAGGGAAUACCACCACCAUGACGAUGAUGGUGUACAUAGUCUGCAACAAUGCUUAGGUGGGUGGUGUCAAAGUAUCCACAUGAAUGGCAGGACCCAAGGUUUCCCAG